GCCCCGAGCCAGCGGUGGCAGCGCUGCGGAGAACACCCCGGGCUCCCCGCCCCGCCCCUCCGAUGGAGCUGGUCCCGCUCGCCAGUGCCUAUUUAGCUUCUCCUGAAUGAUUUACAUGACUACAAAUUUUCAUUUGCUGCUGCAGGUGGACAGUGUUUGAUGCUCCUUCUGGUUCUCCCCUGAGUCCAUCUACUCAAACCACAGGCAAAUGCUGUGCUUCUACUGAAGUUUAUUUCAGUUCAUAAUAACGUCAAAAUAAAAUGCUGGCGACUGUCUGAUGAGUCUAAAGGAAGCCUUAGACUUGGUUACAUAAAUUGAAUUGAGCUUGCCAAGGUGACCUUCAAAAACUUCUUGGACGUAUGAGGAGUGACAUGUGAUGACCUCAAACCACAAGUAAUUCUAAUACAACUUACUCACAGAAGAACCUUUUGGGAAGGUACCAGGACUUUAACUGAGCUUAACGCAAGACUACAGACAUUGGGGACAUUGGAAAACAUGCAAACUAUUUGGAAUUCAAGGACAGAAGUUUUCCCCACAGUUCGUGAUCAUUCAGCUGUGUGUCCUGAAUUCACACCCAGGGUCCCCCCUGCAGAGCAGCACGAGGCCAGCUGUGCCUUCAGCUGGGAUUUUUGCUUUUGCUUUCUGAAGUACCAAUACCAGAGCCUUCCUGCUCAGCCCUUGGCAGUUCCUCCUUUCAAGGCCAUUUCUGCUCUUCCUCUGAUGUUUCUGCCAGCACCAGGUGGGUCAGAGGACCAUUGCUCUAUCCAGUUUCUGAAGAGGAUGCCAGUGCUGUUAGUGACCUGUGUCUAGUCCAGGAUCCUUUUUAUCUGCACCCCUGGACAAAGCUUUAGUCACAGCCUCAUGGAAAAUAAAUGCAGCCAUUUUACAUGGAGAUUCUCUGAUCUCAGAGCAAAAUUUUAUUAGUCAAGGACAGCACCACAUAUGUGUCCUAGGUGAUACUCAUGGGAAUACAAGUAACAGAACUGGCUAAAGCAUAGAGAAUAGUGAGGGCAAUUCACUUUUCACACAAAUUGUCAGUGACUGUAAAAGAGCUGAUGGUCUCCUUGGUCAUGUAACCUGCAGCCACUACCAAACCUGCUAUUAAAUAUCCAUAUCCUGAAGACUCUGCAAAAUAGUACCUCACACAGCAGCAGAGGGGAGGGCUUUCUCCUCUCUGGCUCCCUGUAACUCUUGGAGGCUCACCUCAAACUUUCAUAUUCAAAUAGCUUGAUAUUAAUCUCAAAAUUCCUGAAGUUUUUCUGUGUGCGUAAUGUGAGAUUGGCUUAAAAUUCCUGAGUCUUAUAUUUAAACUCUGAACGCCUUUUAAUCCUGUUCUAACAUUUUAUUAAUUUGAAAUUACCUUGAUUGGUGGUGGUGGUGUAGCUGUGAUGCUUUCAGUUUAAACAAGAUCAGCUUUGUAGGGAGAGAUGGUGUCUUUGACUGGACCUCAGAAGGAUUUUGCCUGCUUGAAAAUUUGACUAUUAGUAAAUGCCUCUCCCUACUAAGCACCAGAAAUUUGUUUCAUGAAUCUUUGAAGAGGCGUUGAACAUUGCAGAAUCCUGGCAAUGUAUGCUCUGGAGUGGCUGUAACUUCUCAGCUUUACUGGCUUCUCUGUAUAUUUCUAAUAGUUGACACCUCAGAUUUUAAGACUUUGAAAGUAAAAGGCUCCUCUUCUGGUUACUUCUCUUUGGGAAAAUUGUUCUGCUCCCACAUCACUGGAUGAACUGGAUGUUAACAAUGCUAAUUGGGGUGUAUUUAUGCAGAGGCAGCAGCUGUCAAGGGAAGACACUGUGAUCUGUAUUCCCCAACACUGCUUAUAGGGACUCUCUAAUUCUUUUAUGAAGUGAAAUGAAGCAGAAAGGCUGAACAAAUGAAAUCUUCUGACUACUGGCUUCGCUUCAGUCGGGAUGAAGAUCUAACACUUUGGAUGCCAUUCAUGUUUCCUGUUUAAAGAGAGGGGUUUUUUUCUUGAGCAGGAGUCUGAGUAAGCCCAUCUGGAAGCCAGCUUUGCAGACUACUCCCAGAGCAGCAAGCACCACUGGUAAAGUAAAGACUACAAUUAAUUUUUUUUUCUUUAAUCAUGUCAUAGUCCUAUUCCAUAGAACACUAAUUUAUUUUGGUUCCAUACCAGCAUAUUUAUACCAUGGAAAGAAGCAAACAGGUGACACCCACUUCUGCAGAACACCACUGGAGCUCUCUAAGCAUUUCCUCUGAGUAUUCUUUGUAAGUGAAAUGAGUCAGCGAAGUGGGGGAGCAUUGCUCUGUGUUCAUAGCCUGCAGGCUCCCCUCAGCAGGGGCCUGUGGUGAGUGACAGGAACUGGUUAAGUUUGCGUGAUGGUGAGAGCAAUGAAAUAAUUUCUCAUGCUAAGGCUGGCUGUACAAGCUGAGGUUUCCACCCUCUCUGAGGAGAUGAUGUUUUUCUCUGCCACACACUGGGUGCAGCUGUCAGCUCCUGGCAGCUGCAGGAAGGCUCUUGCCGUAAUCCUCUGCAGAUUCCACUAAACAUAAGCUAACAUGCAACGUAUAGCAUCUGUAUUAGGUUCUCAAGUAGGAUUUGCCAUGAAAGUUAUGUUAAUUCAUCUUAUCUUAGCGUGACUCGCCUGCAGUUUGGGCUGGAUGACUCUAUGGGAGAGGCCAGACUCUUCUUGUUGUUGUAAGUAGUGGGAUUAGGAUGUCUGCUGCUCACAUUCACCUGCCUUUUUUCAAGUCACUUCUAAAAUGCCACUUAUUCAGAGCUCCCUGCUAACUUUGGCAGCUUGAAUCUGGAGUUUUCCUGUUUCAGCAGAUGACUUUGUUGGCUCCAGGUCUUUUGAAAUUCCUGGACAAACACAAUUUACUGCCAGACUGAUCAGUCCCAAGCAUAAAUUACAAGCAGCAGAAGCUCAGGUUAGGGAUGUAAAUAUGACUGACUUCCAACCCAUUUAUUCCAACUCAUUGAUCUGUUAAUUUCAAAUAAUUAAUUAAAUUCUGUGAUGAUGUGAUAGGUAGUCUGAAAAAAAAACCCUUGAAGGAUUAAGAUGGUUUUCCAGACUUCAGUCAGCAUGUCCACAUUGCAUCUUUUAUGCAGUACAAAACAAACACCAGGAACAACUGAACUUUAUAUUCUUGUGUUUGUUUCAUAUAGUUCUGUGUGCAGUAUAAGAAAAUAAAUCUAAACUAGUAUGUAUCUUCUAAAGCUGAAACCUGAUACUUGUCUGUGCUAAAAGUUGCCCUUCAGUGAAUUUUCUUAGAAAUACCAAGGAAAGGAAGACAGUCAGUCUCAGACUCCUCCAUUACAGAGUAAUGCAUUAGUACAAAGUACAAACCUUAAAAACAACCCCAAAAACCUAAAACUUUGUUUGAAACACAGUUAGUGACUUCUCAGUGCUAGGAAAGUGAAAUAGAAAUAAAAUUGAAGAACCUUUUCUGUACACUUUGACCCUUGGACUGGGGUGGAGAUAUUUUUUAAAACUCCUUUGGGUAGGAUGAAAGGCUGUAAUAGAUCAGAACUUCUGGCCAAGGGAAAGGAGGAUUUUUGUGCUUGUGUAAUACCAGCCUUUUACCAAAAUUAGAGAGGGGAGCAGAGAAUUUCUUCCAUUUUAAGUAGUACUGUCAGUAAGAGCACGGAAAGGUCUGAGCUGGACAGAAAAUUUCUAAUUGCAGCUUCUUUGAAAAUCGCUUUUCACGGAGAUCUGGGGUCAAAUUCUUUUCUAAGGUCUCUUGGCACCAUACCAACAAAACAGUGCCAGUGUAAUUGAGGGAGCCCUGGCUCCUGCUAUGCUCUGGGCUGUUAUCCAGGUGUAGUUUGACCUUUGUGUUUUACCCAUACUGUGACCAUCUCACAUGCACGUCAGUGUGAGGAAUAAUGUCCUUGAAGAUUGCUUUGAAGAGAGGCACCCAUUGUAGUAGCAGGCAGAAGAAGAUUGAUUCCUUUCUUUUAAUCUGUGCAAACCAAAACUCUGUCUCACCCAGGGUGCUCUCAGGAAAUCCGCUCAUGUUUAACCCACUGUAAUUUACAGCCUGUCAGGCACCAACUCAUUGCCUUUUCCAACUGUGUGUUGAGCUUCCUCUGCUCCCCUUAAAUCAGAGGAUUAUCACUGUGGGGUCACCUCCAGAAACCAGCCUGUUGAGGCAUCAGACUUUCCUUGCAGCUUUGGAAUGUGUCUCUGUGCUUGGCUGAGACAGUUCUUUGGUAAGAGCUUUGCAGAUAAUUCAAUGCAACUUUGCAUUUUACUGAAAGACAAGGAUUUUCUGGUUUGGGAAAACAAAUCCAUUUCUUGAUGCAGAUUGCCAGCACUCCUGCCCUUCUUAUAACACAGUUUCUAGAAGGCAAAUCCUUUAAAAGGGACCUUUUAGUCUCUCCUGAAGAUUACACUCUUGUAGGGGUCUUGCCUUCAUCUGUAGAUUUAAUGGCUUAAUAAGCAUUAGACCCUCCUGUUAUGCAGUAACAAAUAGGAAUACAAUACUUUUAUCAAUAUUUGGCACAAUUAAUUUUUUUUUAUGUGAAACUAAAUAUUGAUGCUGUCAAGUGACUGCAGCUCAGGGACAUAAAUUACAAAUAUUCUUUUCCUAUGAGCCUUGCUCAAAUUUUGCAUUCAUAUACAGUAACCAUCUAAUGUCUUUCUAUUCCUGUAAGCCAUAUGAUUUGAUUGCCAGAUUACAUGGUUCUGUAUUGUGCUUAGAUGUCAGUGUUUUUAUUGUUAUUACCAAUAUUAUCUUUUAUCCUUACUGUAAGUGGUAACAAAAAGUUAACUGCUUCCUUACACUAUAAAAAGAAUAAAGUCCCAUUUACAGAAUAUCUCUAAACAGAAAAUAUCUCUGGAAAAAAGAUAUACGAAUAAAUAAUUCACAACAUCAUGGGUGAGUAGAAAAAAAAGGGGUUUGAUGUAUUUUGCUACUCAAAAUAAAACCAGAUUUUUUAGACUGGCUAUUUUAGUGGAGAACAAAAGCUCUUUUAAAGAAGAAUGAUUGCAGGGGGAUCAGUUCUCCGUGCAUUUUUACCCGUUCUGCACUUUUGUUGGUAACAGGACUUGUGACAUUGAUUAAUCCAUCCCCUUGGUUUUCCCAAUUCUUUUCUCUGUUCCAUCCUCCUGCUUUUGCAUUAGCUUAUUUCUUGGCUUAUUUUCUAAAGAAAAUGUCAACCCACCCACCCACCCAAGAGAAACCAUAACAUUUCAAGGAUUUCGGGCUGCGGCAAAGCGAAUUAGCCUGUCUGUAAUAUAAACAGACAGCAAAUAAAUUCUUGAAGGCCUUGGAAUUAAAGUCUCCCAUCUUAAACCCCCCCAUACUUUCAGUACAUUACACUCCAGAUUUCCACAUAGGUGGAAUAAGUAUACAAUAAUAAUUAUCCCGAGAGCAUCCCCGGGAAAAUCAGGACGGGCAUUUUCCUGUUUUCUCAUGAAACCGGAGGAGCUCCAUCAGCUCUGCAGGAAACAUCGAGCGGCGACAAACCCCCCGGGACGGCUCGGGAGGGCUCACACCGGCUGGGGACAAAGAGCAGAGCGGGGUCUGCAGGGCGGGGCCGAGUCACAGCGAACGGUAUCACACCGCUCAAUCAGACUUUUACGUUAGUUUUUUGCACGUUAAGGAGCCGAUCCUGAGCCGAACUCAGGCAAAGCGAGGACCAGCCAGGCGCCGGGUGCCCCAUCCCGGUGUGGGGGUGCCGGCUCGGUGCAGCCGCUGCGGUCAAUGAGAACCACCUGGGGACACGCGAUGAGCCCCAGGCCCGGCACAGCGCGGGAAAUAUGUAAUGGUGAUGGGUGUGGUGCGGUCCUGCAGUCCUGAGCCUGUUCUUCGAGCAAUAAAGAUGACAGAUCUCUCUGAA